rnacentral:rRNA from 1 species
UAAUCACUUGUCUUUUAAAUGGAGACCUGUAUGAAUGGCAUUACGAGGGCUUAACUGUCUCCUUUUUCAAGUCAAUGAAAUUGAUCUCCCCGUGCAGAAGCGGGGAUAAUACCAUAAGACGAGAAGACCCUAUGGAGCUUUAGACACUAAGGCAUAUCAUGUAAUCUACCCCUAAACCCUGAGGACUAAACCUAUUGAAACAUGCCCCUAUGUCUUCGGUUGGGGCGACCACGGGGAAAUAAAAAACCCCCGCGUGGAGUGGGAGUACAACUUCCUGCAACCAAGAGCUGCAGCUCUAACAAACAAAAUUUUUGACCAUAAACAGAUNNNNNAAAGCCGAUUAACGGACCAAGUUACCCUAGGGAUAACAGCGCAAUCCCCUUUUAGAUCCCA